UGGGGAAUUGUUCGCAAUGGGCGCAAGCCUGACGACGCAACGCCGCGUGGAGGAUGAAGGUCUUCGGAUUGUAAACUCCUGUUGAUCGGGAAGAAUUUCUUUGGGGUUAAUAGCCUCGAAGAGUGACGGUACCGGUUGAGGAAGCCCCGGCUAACUCUGUGCCAGCAGCCGCGGUAAUACAGAGGGGGCGAGCGUUGUUCGGAAUUACUGGGCGUAAAGGGCGCGUAGGCGGCCAACUAAGUCGGACGUGAAAUCCCAAGGCUCAACCUUGGAACUGCGUCCGAUACUGGAUGGCUUGAAUCCGGGAGAGGGAUGUGGAAUUCCAGGUGUAGCGGUGAAAUGCGUAGAUAUCUGGAGGAACACCGGUGGCGAAGGCGGCAUCCUGGACCGGUAUUGACGCUGAGGCGCGAAAGCCAGGGGAGCAAACGG
rnacentral:rRNA from 1 species